rnacentral:rRNA from 1 species
UACGGGGGGGGGCUAGCGUUGUUCGGAAUUACUGGGCGUAAAGGGCGCGUAGGCGGUCUACUAAGUUGGAUGUGAAAACUCUGGGCUUAACCCAGAGCCUGCAUUCAAAACUGAUAGGCUAGAGUUCUGGAGGGGAUAGCGGAAUUCCUGGUGUAGCGGUGAAAUGCGUAGAUAUCAGGAGGAACACCGGUGGCGAAGGCGGCUAUCUGGACAGAAACUGACGCUGAGGCGCGAAAGCUAGGGGAGCAAACAGG